CCUACGGGAGACAGCAGUGGGGAAUAUUGGGCAAUGGGCGCAAGCCUGACCCAGCAACGCCGCGUGAAGGAAGAAGGCUUUCGGGUUGUAAACUUCUUUUGUCAGGGAAGAGUAGAAGACGGUACCUGACGAAUAAGCCACGGCUAACUACGUGCCAGCAGCCGCGGUAAUACGUAGGUGGCAAGCGUUGUCCGGAUUUACUGGGUGUAAAGGGCGUGUAGCCGGGUUGACAAGUCAGAUGUGAAAUCCUGCGGCUUAACCGCAGAACUGCAUUUGAAACUGUUGAUCUUGAGUACUGGAGAGGCAGACGGAAGUCCUAGUGUAGCGGUGAAAUGCGUAGAUAUUAGGAGGAACACCAGUGGCGAAGGCGGUCUGCUGGACAGCAACUGACGGUGAGGCGCGAAAGCGUGGGGAGCAAACAGGAUUAGAUACCCCAGUAGUC
rnacentral:rRNA from 1 species